UGAGGAAUAUUGGGCAAUGCCCGCAAGGGUGACCCAGCAACGCCGCGUGGAGGAUGAAUGUCGUAAGAUUGUAAACACCUGUUAGAGGGGAAGAAUAGUACCGGUUGGACCGGUAUAUGACUGUACCCUCAGAGAAAGCCCCGGCUAACUACGUGCCAGCAGCCGCGGUAAUACGUAGGGGGCAAGCGUUGUCCGGAUUUACUGGGUGUAAAGGGCGCGCAGGCGGGAUAAAAAGUCAGUGGUGAAAUCCUACAGCUUAACUGUAGAACUGCCUUUGAUACUUUUAUUCUUGAGUUCGGGAGAGAGAGACGGAAUUCCAGGUGUAGUGGUGAAAUACGUAGAUAUCUGGAAGAACACCAGUUGCGAAGGCGGUCUCUUGGUCCGACACUGACGCUGAGGCGCGAAAGCGUGGGGAGCAAACA
rnacentral:rRNA from 1 species